rnacentral:lncRNA from 1 species
UUCUUGAUUCCUGUUUUCUUUAAAGGAAAGGCAUAGAGGAUUUCCAAAAACUUCAAAAAGGAGUCCAGUGGCAUGGACUUCAUCUUAUUUAUACAUUACAAAGGGUAGACACAAGCACCUUAGUCAACAUUUGUGAGAAUGAAGAUUAGCACUGGCAUUUUUAUGAGAAAAAUGACAAUGGGAUGCAAACAACUUUAGAGGAAAUCAGAGAAAUGGCGUUACAAAGGAACUUACUUAUGUCAUCUUAAUUAUUUGUAAGAGUAGUAAUCAGUGAUCAGAGUUACAAAUCAACCAACAAGAUGUUACAGGCCACUUACUGGCAUGUUUGUGGUGGGACAUUAACAAAUAGAGAAUAGUUAAAGGCAAAGAACAACUGAGAACAAAUAUUAUUGCAGUAAGGCUUUUAGGGUAUUUAGUAGACUCUGAAAUAUAUGAUCUAAAGUGGUGCUGUCUACUAUUAUAUCUACUGGCCAGUUAUGGGUAGUGAUCUUUAAAUUAAAUAAAUUUUCAUUCAGUUGUCUGGUUACAUUUUGAAUGACUCAUAGCCACACAUGGCUCAUGGCUACCAGUGUGGGCUACAGACACUUCUAUCAUUGAAGAAAGUUUUACUGUAACAUGCCAUAAUGUUUCAACUGAACUAUUUGCUUUUGAAGGAAAUAGUGGAGGGAAGGGAGGAAGAAAGGAAGCAAGCAAGCAAGCAAGCAAGCAAGCAAGGGUAUUUGAGAGCUCUUAGGUAUAUUCAAACAAUUAUUUUCUUGUAAUAUAAGAGAUGCCUCAUAAAGAAAUGAGAAUACCAGUUGACAUGGCUUUGCAUCUUCAUGGUAUUUCCUUCAACUUCUCAAUUUUCACACUGGAAAAAAAUUAAAUAUAUUUUCCUGUCUUUUUUGCAAGAUUACUUUACAGACGGAUUAAUACAGAUGUAAAGACUUGAAAGCUUACAGAGAAGUGAUCUAUAAAGCACACCUGUAAGGCAAGCACCAAAUUGCACACAAGGGAACAAUAGUCCAUCAAUCCAAAAGGCAACUCAAGACAAUGAAGGCAAUAUAUUCUUGAGAAAGUGUCAAAGUGAAUAGAAAAACUGCUUGAGUUUCUUUUUGUCCAUGUUUUUUUUUUCCUGCCUUGUUCUCUUAUUUGCCAAAUCACCUGUGUAUCCCCAUUUGCCUGGACUCUCUCUUAUUUGGAGUCACUUUGUGCCUCUUUGUUUGUUCUGCUCAGGAAUCCCGGCAUCUUAGCAGAGGCUCUUUUGAAAGCAAAAUAGAUGAUCCUGUAAACAUUAGUUAUCUCUUAUGUAUUUUAUUUCUAUUAAAAAGCAAGGAACUGUGACAUAAUUCCAUAUAAAUAUGGAGGAAACUUGCUUUUGAUGUAAAUUCUACAAAUGCCAGACUUUAUAAACAAAAUAAAACUACCUUAAAGUAUGCUUAUGUCCAGAUAAUACAUAGUGUGGGAAGGCAUCUCAUACAACCUGUUCCUUUUACUGACGUGAAAACAAAGGCUUAUAUAGGUACAAUAAUUAUCGUUGGUGUCAAAAGUGGGUUUGGAAGUUAAACCUCUCAAUUGUUUUUUUUUUUUUUUCUCCUUUUGAUUGCUGUGGCUUACAUUCCUCUGUAAGUAAUUAAGACAACUAAGCAUCUGGAAGUCAUAAUCCAUGAAAAAUUAAUUUCACCUGCUAUAAGGAUGCUGUCUACACACUGUGUCCUAUAGUAUGAAGCAUUGAAGCAAUAGUCUUCUAUGCUAUUACUGUCCUAAGAAUCCUGUUGUUCUAUUUCCAGUUCCAUCCCUGAUAGGGUCCUUAUGUGUCCCCUCUCUCACCUCCUCAGCUGUGGUCAUCAGUUAGCAGUGCUAUUUAUGUUUGUCAUUUGAAUGUUUUUUCUGCCUUUGUUUCAUUUCUACUCAAUGGUAUUUGAAAACUAAUACUGUUUAUUGAAGAAUUUCUGCUACCUAGAUAAUCACCGUUUUUACUUGUUCGUGGAAACUAUUCGGGAACUUGUUUUCCAAGAAGGUCUUAUGGGAAAAGAUUGUGAGAUCAGGGCUGUUACCUAUGAUAUACUCAUACUGUUGUGUUUUUAUAAAGCACUUUACAUUUUACAUAGU